rnacentral:tRNA from 1 species
GUGCUUAUAGUCCAAUGGUUAGGAUUAUUGCCCUCCAAGCAAUAGACCUGGGUUCAAACCCCGGCAAACGCA